UCAGACAUCCUAGUCGAACGCGAAAGUCCCCUUCGGGGGACAAGUAGAGUGGCGCACGGGUGAGUAACACGUAGGUAAUCUACCUUCGGAUGGGGAAUAACAAUCGGAAACGGUUGCUAAUACCGCAUAAUGCAGCGGCACCUAAUGGUGACAGUUGUUAAAGCGGGGGAUCGAAAGACCUCGCGUCUGAAGAGGAGCCUGCGGCGGAUUAGCUAGUUGGUAAGGUAAUGGCUUACCAAGGCAACGAUCCGUAACCGGCCUGAGAGGGCGGUCGGUCACACUGACACUGACAUACGGGUCAGACUCCUACGGGAGGCAGCAGUCGGGAAUUUUGGGCAAUGGGCGAAAGCCUGACCCAGCAACGCCGCGUGAAGGAUGAAAUCCCUCGGGAUGUAAACUUCGCAAGAACGGGAAGAAUAAGUAGGGGACAAUACCCCCUAUGAUGACGGUACCGUUUGUAAGCUCCGGCUAACUCCGUGCCAGCAGCCGCGGUAAUACGGGGGGAGCAAGCGUUGUUCGGAUUUACUGGGCGUAAAGGGGGCGGAGGCGGUCAGCACAAGUCAAUUGUGAAAUCUCCGGGCUUAACUCCGAAAGGUCAACUGAUACUGUGCGACU
rnacentral:rRNA from 1 species